GAUGGGUGGAAAAAACUAAUUCACUUGGAUUGGGAAGGCACGUAUAGAUUUUAGAGUGUAGUUGUGAUAUCUGCUAUCUUCACUACUGAACUUGAGAGUGUUGAAACUACUGAAUUGAUAGAACCCUAGGAUGCUUCUUUGGAAUAGAUGGGAUAAUUCUUUGCAGAAAUGAAUCAAAAGACUCAAGCUUCUCAAAAACAUUGGAUCGAAUGGUGACACAAGAGGGAUGGUUGGAUCU
rnacentral:lncRNA from 1 species